rnacentral:hammerhead_ribozyme from 1 species
AUUUAACUGAUGGGUCCCAAAUUAGGGCGAAACGCGAGUCUUGGAU